rnacentral:tRNA from 1 species
UCCUCCAUAGUUCAGUUGGUAGAACGCCGGACUGUUAAUCCGUAUGUCGCUGGUUCAAGUCCAGCUGGAGGAGCCA